GACCAAAGUAGUGUGAUAGGAGAAUCCUAUAGAGCAGCACAAUCCAAAAGAACUUCCUAAAAUGAUAGAAAAGUUCUCUAUCUGCACUCUUUGUUACAAUAGCCACUUAACUGUUUUAAAUAGCCAUGUCUGGCUACUGGCCACUAUAUUGGGACAGCACAGAGGAGGUGUCACAUUGGCCUGAUUUCUCUGUGUGUUCACCAUGGGCAAACAGGGCUCUAAUAAGUGCUCUGAAAAUAAAAGAAUGAUAAAUGACUGGGUCUCUAAGAGCUCCCACAGUGCAAAAUCACCUGUGGUCAUCAGGCAGGGAAAAGAAAAGCGGUGGGCACAAGAGUUCACGCGGGCUAGGACCUGGGAGAGGAAGACGCUUACUUGAACUGUCUGUCUGCAGGCAUUCACGGAGCCUCUGUGUCCCUAGAAGUGAGAACCCUGAGGACCCGGAAGCUAUCUGGAGACACUGCUCUACCAGUCACACAAGAAGAAAUUUUGGCAGAGGUGAGUGCAGGAUGGCCACCAGACCACUCGAGGGACUGUCACUGAACAGCAUACCCUGACUUUCCUGCCUUCCUCUCCGAGCCAUUAUCUUGGGGACCUGAGUGCCUAUGAGCUGGAGUGGAAAACACCUGAGAGCCGGAAGAGGUGGUCUGGACUGAGGAUGAGUUCUGGGUCACAUGGGCCACCUUUGGCUUUCCUGUCCCGAAGAGGAAAAGGCCUGGUCUAGGGCUACAGAAGACUGGCCCUCACGAGCCAGCAUGGGGACCGACGUGGAAACGAAUGAUCACAGAACAUGGCGUUUGUCCGUUUAGCUGUCUGUUUCCACUGCUGGGCUGUCACCUCUCUGAGGCCGGGCUGCUGGUGGUAAUAUCCAGACUGAACUGGAGACAGGCUGGCACCCAGAGCAGGACUCCAGGCACCCUCUGAACUGGCAGAAAGGAAGCCGGGCUCCUGGGCCUGGCGGGGUGUCUCAGGAAUGCUUGGUGGGUAAGAAUCUUCACGCCGGCACAGAUGGCCCAACCAACUGAGGGUCCCUCUGCCCUACGUACUGGGAGGCCCCAGAGAACACACCCGCACACCCGUGCCUGGCCAGUGUCUGAGCGGCCUCCAGUCAUCACUGGUAAAGAGUGAGGCCAUUAUUCAGAGGGAACGAAUAUGGAGAACCGUGCCAUCUUCCAAAAUGGCGGCCACCAUGUUGCUAGUUUCAUAUGCUCUUCUAGAACCUUGCCACUCCCUCACCUGGAGCUGGAAUCUGUGUCCCUCCCCUUGAACUUCUUUGGGCGGCCUCCACCUGUCUCAGUGACUAGGGUAUGGCAGAAGAAGCUCUGUGACUCCCUAGGCUGGGUCAUAAAAGGUGAGACAGCUUCCCAGGCUCUCUCAGGACAUGCCAUUAUGUAAGAGGUUCAUCUACCUUAAAGCCUCUUGGAAGAGACCACACAAGAGGCAGAGAGACCCCGGAGCCCCAGCGGGUCCGUUCUGUAGCUCAGACACCAGACAUAUGGGUGAGGGGCUUUCAGGUGACCCCAGCACUGGGUCCGUCUGACUGCAUGAGAGACCCUGAGUCACCCAGCUGAGCCCAGUCAUCCUUUAGAGCCAUGAGAGCGAAUGAGAACACAACUACUGUUUUAAGCCACUGAUUUUGGGGGUGCAAUGAGACAGGGACCUUCCUGGAAUCUGUGCCUGGCCAGGGACAUAGGCUGCACAUGCUAACUGACAGACGCUGCCUCUCGGGGUUGCCAGCAAGAGACUGGAGCCCACAUGGGGAGAUGCCAGUGUCAGGAUGCUGUGCCAAGA